GAUGAACGCUGGCGGCGUGCCUAAUACAUGCAAGUCGAGCGAACGGACGAGAAGCUUGCUUCUCUGAUGUUAGCGGCGGACGGGUGAGUAACACGUGGAUAACCUACCUAUAAGACUGGGAUAACUUCGGGAAACCGGAGCUAAUACCGGAUGAUAUUUUGAACCGCAUGGUUCAAAAGUGAAAGACGGUCUUGCUGUCACUUAUAGAUGGAUCCGCGCUGCAUUAGCUAGUUGGUAAGGUAACGGCUUACCAAGGCAACGAUGCAUAGCCGACCUGAGAGGGGGAUCGGCCACACUGGAACUGAGACACGGUCAAGACUCCUACGGGAGGCAGCAGUAGCGAAUCUUCCGCAAUGGGCGAAAGCCUGACGGAGCAACGCCGCGUGAGUGAUGAAGGUCUUCGGAGCGUAAAACUCUGUUAUUAGGGAAGAACAUAUGUGUAAGUAACUGUGCACAUCUUGACGGUACCUAAUCAGAAAGCCACGGCUAACUACGUG
rnacentral:rRNA from 1 species